ensembl:lncRNA
ACGUCUGACCCUCCUGCUCUCUCUUCUGACCCAGUCUCCCCCUCUGUGUCCAGAUGACCUCCCUGGGCAGUGGCAGGCUUGUGAAGGGCUAGGAGCAGCCCGCUUCCACUUAGGAGACCCCGAGAAGGCGAUCCUGCAUUACAAGGAGGCACUAACGUUGCUCUCUAAGUGCCGGGAUGUCCCCGAAACGGCCCAGGAGCGGAUCGUGAACAAGCUCACGGAUGCCAUCCAGUACCAGCUCUCUCUGAACAGCCGCUUCUCCCACGGGGGCGGGAUAGCCGCGGCUGCCCCUCUGAAACACUUUCCUGGGAAGUUACAGACCUCCAGUCAGGUCCGGUUUUCCACAGCACUGCACCAGGGGCAUGGGAACAGGCCCCAGGCAUUGCACCAGGGAAGCAAUUCGUCCUUCGUGAAGCACAUCCCCCCAGCAGAGACCACAGAGGAGCAAUAUGAGUCCGUGCUGGGUGCUUCAAUGCAUCCGAGACCUUCUCCACAGCGAAGGGCCCGGGGUGGCUCGCAGCACACUGGGAGGCAGCCUCUGCAGGGACCAAGUUACAGGGCUUCAGAGGUGGGUGCGGCACAGACAACGGUCCUGGCGGAAGGAUCCCCGCUAGAUCACAGAGACCCACGCUGCCGCCCGGUGCUAGCACACAAUCGCUGCGAGGAGCUCAACAGCGCUGUCACGGCUCCAGAAUAUCACAAUCAGCCUCAGGCUAAUAGCAAUUUGAACAACACUUACCUGCACCCGGAUUCUUUCUACUACAACUGCCUGCAGAAUGGGAAUUGCCAUCAUUCAUCGAAAAAUUUCACAGGCCCUCACGACUAUGAAACCCUCCGACUGAGAACGAGGACCCUGGAGCGGUAGGUGAUGCUGCAGUGGGAACAGUUCCCAGGCCAUGGGGGCGGGAUCGUUUGUCGGGAGUAGGUCCAUUGGGAGUUGGGUUGGGAUCACGCCCUGAAUUCACCCCACCAACUUCUCUGCAGCACCCCAGCGAGGAAAUAAGGCCAUUGCUCGGGUACUGAGUAGAGCUGGAAGAACUGUGGCCUAGCGGUGGGAGCUUGGAAAGAGAAACUAGAGCUGCUAGCUAAUGGAAUCCGCUGCCCAGCCAGCUCACCUGUCCGAUCCCCCGGCGGCGUGCGGAGUCACUGCAACUCCUCGCCCUGCGUCACAGCUAAAAAACAGCGUUAAUCGCUCCCCUCGUGUUUGCUCCCCUCGUAGAGCUGCUGCCAACCCAGCUGGAUGUCUCCCUGGCGAGAGACCGGAGCCCUGGCAACAGCAAAGGAGACGCAGGUUCGAGUCCAUAAUGUGCAUGCUCAUGUGAUGGUAAAUUACAGCGGCUUGGCUUUGCUCUGCUCUGAGUAAACCAGGGAUGCUUAGACAUUGAGUCAUAGCAGGGUGCAGGGCACAUUUACCCUUCUCGGUCUACAAAGCCCUCCACAGACUUCCCCACAACCUCUUCAAGGCACCGUCCUCCUCUCUGUCCCUCCACCACUGGUGCAAGGGCCUUCUCCUCUGCACCCCUCGCCCUCUGGCGCAACCUCCAUCUUGCCGAAUCCCCAGCUCAUCUCGCCUGAGACACGAGACAGGAUGUCUUUCCACAAGUCGUCGGGCUCAGCAUAGGAGUGGCCGAGCGCAAUCCCCCAGCCGUGUAUUAGCCAGACGAGAUGACCAUGGAGGUCCUUCUUGACAUUACAAAUGCACGAUGCAAAUUUAGAUGAUAAACGCUUUGGGGCAGGGAGCGUCGUUUUGUACAGCAGCUUGCACCAUGGGGUCAGGAUAGAGCUCCCGAGUGCAAUGGCUUACACAUAAUAAAAUGCAAAUAUGUCUUUCCUCCCUCCCUCUC